CGACAGCGAAGGAUGUCUAAUACCGCAUACGUCAGCGAGGUCUACGGAUCUUGUUGGGAAAGAUGGCCUCUCCUUGGAAGCUGUCUCCGGAAGAUGAGCCCGCGGCCCAUCAGCUAGUUGGUGAGGUAAUGGCUCACCAAGGCUUAGACGGGUAGCUGGUCUGAGAGGAUGAUCAGCCACACUGGGACUGCGACACGGCCCAG
rnacentral:rRNA from 1 species